rnacentral:lncRNA from 1 species
UGCAGGUCAGUGAAGUGAAGAGAUUAGAAAGAAUGGAGGUUGAAGAUGAUGGGGGAGAAAGUGCUGGUAAAUCACAGUAAGUAAAACAAUUGCUUUCUGGAACUAAAUUACCACUUGCCAAUAAUAUUAGUUACUUGCUUACAUUCGAUUACCAGUUGGCAUUUCUGUAUGUGCAUAAGAUAUUCUUAUCAUCAAUUAAGUACUUUUAUUUUAAAUGGGCCCCUUAUAUACACGCAUAUGUACAUUAGGUUCUUUGAAUAUAUUCGAGGAGAUAGCCAUUUAAUGAUUAGGAUGCUCUGUUCCUUUCUCCCUUUUCCCUGUUUUUCUUAUUCUCAACCCUCCAUUUGGGUUUGCCUCUUGAGGACACAAACUGUCACAUCCCAUUAGCUGCCAUGAAUUAUCAUCUUCCCACCCUCCUCCUGAGUUUUAAAACAAAUCAAUGAGAAGUUUUAAUAGAAUUUACAGAGAAGAUAAUAUAGUAGAAGCUUGAAAAAUAAUCCCAAGAUUUGUGUUUGGCGUUACUGGUACGAGUUAUAUGAUAUUUGUUUGGUGAUAAAUGGAGCAUGAAUGACAAGGGGUGAUUUUGAUUUUGACCAGAUACCCUGAAUGGCAUGCAGCUGGCAUGGAACCACUGGUAGUUUGAUUCAUACCAAACAACAGAAGGGCGAUGGCGAUGUACUUGAAGAGAUUGGUAGAUGGGACCAUCCGGGUGCUCUGGAAUUACCCUCGAUUAACUCGAAAUUGGGACGUAUGGCGAAAGAAACUAACAUUCUUUAAAACUGAUGGCAUAUAAUAAAGACAGCAGAGAAUCAUAUAUGACAAAACCAGAAAUUGGAAGUAAACGGAAAGCAAUUAUUAAUGCAAAUCCAAAAUAGAAAUAUACCCGAUAGAAGGAAAAGGGGAAAGAGCAUAGAAGGUUUCUGGGGUAAGGAUGUCCAGUAAUACAUGGCAGCAUUUUCAAAAGGAGGAUUCCCAUGGCGGUGGGUGUUUUGGAGAGAGAUAAAGAUAACUAAUUGUUAAUUUGAGACAUUAAAAAGAAGAAAGUGAUUUUGGUAUUGUUGUGGUCGUGGAGAGUAAAAGAUAAAAAGUGAUUUAAGGUUUAGGGUAUACCCCCACCCAUGUGCUGUCCCUAUUUAUUCCCUUUCAUCUCCAUCUCCAUUUUAUUUUUUUGUGGGAGAAGAGAAGAUGAUGUAGGGUAGGGGUAGGGUUUUCAGUCGUUUUUAGUAAAGAAGAAGAAGAAGAAGUGGGCAUUGUCAUGGAUCCCACAACAUUGAGAGUUGAGAGUGUUUGUUAUGAAACAUUAAUUGCUGAUAAUGUGGACAUCCACUGGGCUGCUGACGCUGAUGAAAAGCCCUCUUGAGGGCUGUUGUUUCUGGGGGGGGACUCUUUUCAACCACCACUAAUUUUGAAAUCUGAAUUAU